rnacentral:lncRNA from 1 species
UGCAGCUGCACUAACCAGGAAAAUGCAGCUUACUAGUUACAACAGACUGCAGAGCUGAGAGAAAAUGGUUGGUGUGGCUGCUCCAGCAAGGAAGCCUGAGCUAUGGUCUAUUCUGUGAGGAGCUCUGAGGCAGUCAGCCAUCCUGCGUUAAUGUGAUACAUUGAGAGUCCAGGCAGAUCAGAACUGCAGUGUUUGCACCAGAGUUAGUCUGGCUUCCAACAGAGGGAGAAGUGAAUAACAAGCCAAUCAACAUGCAAAACACUGAGCAGAGCAGCACAGCACACAGCCACCAGCCAAAAGCGAGAUUAACACGUGGCUGCAGUCAGGACAGUGACUCCUUGCUCUUGGCUUUUUCAGCUUUGCACGUCUGCUCCUUGUAUCUUCUGAAUCAUCUUUCUAGUGUUUACUGGUCAAAAUAAGUUGCUAUCCUUGUCAGCACUGCAUGAUGAAUACAGUAGGACUAGCUGAUGCUCGCUGCAAGUUCCCAGCUAAGGAAGAAGCUUUGCCCCUUUUGCCACUCUGGAGCUGCAUCCAGAGGGACCACCCCCAUCCCGAGGCUGGGCCAUGAAUGCCAUAACACGGGAAUGCAGCUGGCCCUGCCAACUGGGCACAGUGAGUGGUAAAGAGAAACCUCUUCCAAAAUGUAAAUGUGCUUGCCUGGCAUUGCUGGGGAACUUGGGUUGCCUUAUACAGAGUGUGAUCCUGCCUACCCCGUGCUCAAGUGGGACCUUCUUAACUUCAGUGGAUGCGACUCCUGGAGGUCAUUUUCCAGCGACAAUU